AGCAGCAUGGCGCAGUUGGAAGCGCGCGGGGCCCAUAUUACAGGACAUAAUAGAUCCAGAUAUCGAACCCCGAGGUCACUUGAUCGAAACAAGUUGCUGCUA